AUGAAAACUAAAUCUGUAGAAAGCUAUUUUGUCGCUUGUUUGGACGAGGGUUCGAUUCCCUCCGACUCCACCA
rnacentral:tmRNA from 1 species